CACGUAGGGCGCAAGCGUUGUCCGGAAUUAUUGGGCGUAAAGAGCUCGUAGGCGGUCUGUUGCGUCCGCUGUGAAAACUCGGGGCUUAACCCCGAGCCUGCAGUGGAUACGGGCAGACUAGAGGUAGGUAGGGGAGAAUGGAAUUCCCGGUGUAGCGGUGAAAUGCGCAGAUAUCGGGAGGAACACCGGUGGCGAAGGCGGUUCUCUGGGCAUUAACUGACGCUGAGGCGCGAAAGCGUGGGUAGCAAACAGG
rnacentral:rRNA from 1 species